UACGGGGGGGGCAAGCGUUGUUCGGAAUUACUGGGCGUAAAGGGUCUGUAGGUGGCCAACUAAGUCAGACGUGAAAUCCCUCAGCUUAACUGGGGAACUGCGUCUGAUACUGGAUGGCUUGAGUGUGGGAGAGGAAUGCGGAAUUCCGGGUGUAGCGGUGAAAUGCGUAGAUAUCUGGAGGAACACCGGUGGCGAAGGCGGCAUUCUGGACCAUAACUGACACUGAGAGACGAAAGCCAGGGGAGCAAACGGG
rnacentral:rRNA from 1 species